GGAAGUGUGGCCGAGUGGUUUAAGGCAACGGUCUUGAAAACCGUCGACGGGAAACUGUCCCAGAGUUCGAAUCUCUGCGCUUCCGCCA
rnacentral:tRNA from 1 species